CGUGAGGUGGUAGGGGAGCGUCCCCGAGGCGGUGAAGCCCUUCCGUAAGGAUAGGGUGGAGCGUCGGGGAGUGAGAAUGCCGGUAUGAGUAGCGAGAAAGUCCGGUGAGAAUCCGGGCCGCCGAAUGCCUAAGGUUUCCUCCGCAACGUUCGUCGACGGAGGGUUAGUCGGUCCUAAGCUCAGUCCGCUGUUUUAGGCGGAGUAGGCGAUGGCCAACAGGUUAAUAUUCCUGUACUUUUGUUUGUUCGUUAUCAGCUGGGGCAGGACGAAGCCAGAUAACCCGAGCAGGUUAAUGAUUUCCUGUCUAAACGGCAAGGUAGAGCUAAUAGGAAAAUCCAUUAGCUUGUUUUAACCCGAGUCGUGAUGGCCUUUUUUCCCAAAAGGAAAAAAGCGUUGGGUGAUUUUGGCUUCCGAGAAAAUUGUCGCGGCAAGAACAGGCAAAAACCGUACCCAAAACCAACACUGGUGGGCAGGUCGAGUAGACCAAGGCGAGCGAGAGAAAGAGGUUUAAGGAACUAGGCAAAAAAGCUGGGCGUAAGUUCGCAAGAUGCCCUGCCUGCCUUGUGCUUUGCGCGAGGCGGGCUACAACAAAAGAAUGUUUGGCGACUGUUUACCAAAAACACAGGUCUCUGCAAACUCCUAAAAGAGGAGGUAUAGGGGCUGAAGUCUGCCCAGUGCCGGAAGGUUAAGGAACCUUGUCCUCUGGACAAGAAUAACGGAUUAACGCGGAUUUUUGAGCGGAUUAACACGGAUUUAUCUGUGGAAAUCUGUUUUUAAUCAGCGGAAAUUGUUAUUCUCGCCCAGGGGGCGAGGAACUGAAGCCCCGGUGAACGGCAGCAGUAACUCUAACUGUUCUACGGUAGCGAAGUCCUUUGUCGGGUGAGUUCCGACCGGUAUGAAAGACCCAACGACCAAGCAACUGUCUACAAACCUCUACUCGGCGAAAUUGAAAUGGCUGUGAAGAUGCGGCCUAGUUACUGCAGGACAAAAAGACCCCGUGGAGCUUUACUGCAACUUGAUAUUGAGGAGUUAUUUCCAAUUGUUUAGCGUAGGAGGGAGCCCCGCCUUUUGGCGGGGCAACAAUGAAACACCUCUCUUUGGAAAUAACAAUUCUGACUAAUGUUUGCUGGAAACGCAAACUAGGACAGUGUCUGGUGGGCAGUUUGACUGGGGCAGUCGCUUGCUAAAAGGUAACGCGAGCGUACAAAGGUUGGCUUCUUGCGGAUGGAAACCGCGAGUAAAGUGCAAAGGCAAAAGCCAGCUUAACUGCAAGACCGACGGGUCGAGCAGAUGCGAAAGCAGGUCUUAGUGAUCCCCCGAUACCGCGUGGAAGGGUCGGGGCUUAACGGAUAAAAGCUACCCCGGGGAUAACAGCGUGGUUGGUCCCAAGAGUACAUAUCGACGGGCCAGUUCGCGACCUCGAUGUCGGCUCAGGUUAACCUGGGGGUGAAGAAGCCCCCAAGGGUUGGACUGUUCGCCCAUUAAAAACCUACGUGAGCUGGGUUCAAAGCGUCGUAAGACAGCUUGGUCUCUAUCCGCAGUAACCGUUUUGAUUCUUGAGGGAAUCUGUCCCUAGUACGAGAGGACUGGGAUGGGCAAACCUCUGGUGGUCCAGCUGUGGCAUCAGCCGCAAUGUUGGGUAGCUAUGUUUGUUUUGGAUAACCGCUGAAAGCAUCUCAAGCGGGAAACCGAUCCCAAGAUGAAGAGUCUUUAAGACCCCAGGGAGACUACCUGGUUGAUAGGCCGGAGGUGUAAGUUUGGCAACAAAUUAAGCCGACCGGUACUAAUGGUUUUCGGCAUUUUAAA
rnacentral:rRNA from 1 species